GUCGGCAACAGGCACACGUGAUCCGCUAGAGGGUACUGCGAAAAGUCCUGGACUUCCAUUUUGUUACACUGGGGCGUCGGCGAAGACAAACCAGCCGGUAAGUCCAACUCCAUCAUGUUAAUCUGCUGCUGCGGGUUAUUGUAGCGUGCCAAUAAUUCUGCGGAUGGCUCAUACUGGCGGGGAAGUACAAAUUGAUUCGUACAACCUGCAGCGGGAUGAAGACCAUGACAGCGGAAACAAAUCUCGACUCCACGAUUUGUUCGCCAUUUAUCCUUCAGGAUAUUUCGUUCAUCAAACGGAGGCUGACUACCGGCCUGUUGAUUUUGCCGGGCCAUUCUGUUGGUACUGUGGAUCAAAAUUCUGUACCGGUUGUUGGAAUUGCGGCUGCAUAACCGGCAUCAUUGGAUUCAUCAUUUGAACUGGGACAGGCAUAGGAGCCUGCAUGGGAAUUGGUUGAGGGAAAGUCUGCGCAAAUUGUACCGGGUGCUGUUCGACAAAUGGUGGCUGUGAAUACACCGGAACUGGAACAAAUUGCGGCUGGGGAACAUUCAGGACGGGUUGGAUUGGAGCCACCGUAUUCUGCGGCUGCGGAAUCACCGUUUCCGUGUACGAACGUGAAUAUCCUCCGCGAUUGUUGCCAUAGUUUCCGCGGCCUCCCCGGUUCGAAUAAUAAUUUCCUCUCUGCGACGAGCCACCGCGGCCGCCUCGAUACUCAUAAUUCGAAUUAUUAUUAUUAUUUCCGGCGCUUCUCGGUUCUGAAGGAGCGCUUUUCUGAGUUGAUUCAGGUGCCGCAUUAUAAAUUUCACGGAACCAUGCCGGUCGAUGCUCCUGUACGCCAUCAAGGAGUGCUUCCACCUGCUCUUCCUCCGAUGUUUUUAG